UACGUAGGGUGCGAGCGUUAAUCGGAAUUACUGGGCGUAAAGCGUGCGCAGGCGGUUAUGUAAGACAGGUGUGAAAUCCCCGGGCUUAACCUGGGAACUGCAUUUGUGACUGCAUAGCUAGAGUACGGUAGAGGGGGAUGGAAUUCCGCGUGUAGCAGUGAAAUGCGCAGAUAUCGGGAGGAACACCAGUAGCGAAGGCGGCACUCUGGGCCGGUACUGACGCUGAGGAGCGAAAGCGUGGGGAGCAAACAGG
rnacentral:rRNA from 1 species